rnacentral:rRNA from 1 species
UACAGAGGUCCCGAGCGUUGUUCGGAUUCAUUGGGCGUAAAGGGUGCGUAGGCGGUCUGCUAAGUUUGGUGUGAAAUCCCGGGGCUCAACCCUGGAAUUGCAUUGAAUACUGGUGGACUAGAGUACUGGAGAGGAAACUGGAAUUUACGGUGUAGCAGUGAAAUGCGUAGAGAUCGUAAGGAAGACCAGUGGCGAAGGCGAGUUUCUGGACAGUAACUGACGCUGAGGCACGAAGGCCAGGGGAGCAAACGGGG